CCUACGGGAGGCAGCAGUGGGGAAUAUUGGGCAAUGGGCGCAAGCCUGACCCAGCAACGCCGCGUGAAGGAAGAAGGCGUUCGGGUUGUAAACUUCUUUUCUCAGGGACGAAGCAAGUGACGGUACCUGAGGAAUAAGCCAAGGCUAACUACGUGCCAGCAGCCGCGGUAAUACGGAGGUGGCAAGCGUUCUCCGGAUUUACUGGGUGUAAAGGGCGUGUAGGCGGGAAUGCAAGGCAGAUGGGAAAACCAUGGGCUCAACCUGUUGCCUGCAUUUGAAACGGUUUUUCUUGAGUACUGGAGAGGCAGGCGGCAUUCCUAGUGUAGCGGUGAAAUGCUUAGAUAUUAGGAGGAACUCCAGUGGCGAAGGCGGUCUGCUGGACAGCAACUGACGCUGAGGCGCGAAAGCGUGGGGAGCAAACAGGAUUAGAUACCCGUGUAGUC
rnacentral:rRNA from 1 species